rnacentral:rRNA from 1 species
CCUACGGGAGGCAGCAGUCGAGAAUCAUUCACAAUGGGGGAAACCCUGAUGGUGUGACGCCGCGUGGGGGAAUGAAGGUCUUCGGAUUGUAAACCCCUGUCAUGUGGGAGCAAAUUAAAAAGAUAGUACCACACGAGGAAGAGACGGCUAACUCUGUGCCAGCAGCCGCGGUAAUACAGAGGUCUCAAGCGUUGUUCGGAAUCACUGGGCGUAAAGCGUGCGUAGGCUGUUUCGUAAGUCGUGUGUGAAAGGCGCGGGCUCAACCCGCGGACGGCACAUGAUACUGCGAGACUAGAGUAAUGGAGGGGGAACCGGAAUUCUCGGUGUAGCAGGGAAAUGCGUAGAUAUCGAGAGGAACACUCGUGGCGAAGGCGGGUUCCUGGACAUUAACUGACGCUGAGGCACGAAGGCCAGGGGAGCGAAAGGGAUUAGAUACCCCAGUAGUC